rnacentral:rRNA from 1 species
GUGAGAAUCUGCCUUGGGGUCGGGGACAACCACUGGAAACGGUGGCUAAUACCGGAUAAGCCUUUGGGUAAAAGAUUUAUUGCCCCAAGAGGAGCUCGCGUCUGAUUAGCUAGUUGGUGAGGUAAAAGCUCACCAAGGCAGCGAUCAGUAGCUGGUCUGAGAGGACGAUCAGCCACACUGGGACUGAGACACGGCCCAGACUCCUACGGGAGGCAGCAGUGGGGAAUUUUCCGCAAUGGGCGAAAGCCUGACGGAGCAAGACCGCGUGAGGGAGGAAGGCUCUUGGGUUGUAAACCUCUUCUCUCAGGGAAGAAGCUCUGACGGUACCUGAGGAAUCAGCCUCGGCUAACUCCGUGCCAGCAGCCGCGGUAAUACGGAGGAGGCAAGCGUUAUCCGGAAUUAUUGGGCGUAAAGCGUCCGCAGGUGGCGAUUCAAGUCUGCUGUCAAAGCACGGGGCUUAACUCCGUUAAGGCAGUGGAAACUGAAUAGCUAGAGUGCCGUAGGGGUAGAGGGAAUUCCCGGUGUAGCGGUGAAAUGCGUAGAGAUCGGGAAGAACAUCGGUGGCGAAAGCGCUCUACUGGACGGCAACUGACACUCAGGGACGAAAGCUAGGGGAGCGAAUGGGACUAGAUACCCCAGUAGUCCUAGCUGUAAACGAUGGAUACUAGGUGUAGCUUGUAUCGACCCGAGCUGUGCCGAAGCUAACGCGUUAAGUAUCCCGCCUGGGGAGUACGCACGCAAGUGUGAAACUCAAAGGAAUUGACGGGGGCCCGCACAAGCGGUGGAGUAUGUGGUUUAAUUCGAUGCAACGCGAAGAACCUUACCAGGGCUUGACAUGUCCGGAAUCCCGGUGAAAGCUGGGAGUGCCUUCGGGAGCCGGAACACAGGUGGUGCCUGGCUGUCGUCAGCUCGUGUCGUGAGAUGUUGGGUUAAGUCCCGCAACGAGCGCAACCCUGAUGUUUAGUUGCCAGCAUUAAGUUGAACACUCUAGAGAGACCACCGGUGACAAACCGGAGGAAGGUGG